CAACAGGGGCGCUGGGUUUUCCCGGCUGAGAUGACCGUAAUCGAGCGGUCGGUACCCUUGAACCUGAUACGGGUAAUGCCGGCGUAGGGAGCGA
rnacentral:ncRNA from 1 species